AACGAACGAGGGAGGAAGGAAGAACACAUGCAAGUCGAACGAGACCUUCGGGUCUAGUGGCGCACGGGUGCGUAACGCGUGGGAACCUGCCCUUAGGUUCGGAAUAACUCCCCGAAAGGGGUGCUAAUACCGGAUAAUGUCUUCGGACCAAAGAUUUAUCGCCUUUGGAUUGGCCCGCGUUGGAUUAGCUAGUUGGUAGGGUAAAAGCCUACCAAGGCGACGAUCCAUAGCUGGUCUGAGAGGAUGAUCAGCCACACUGGGACUGAGACACGGCCCAGACUCCUACGGGAGGCAGCAGUGGGGAAUAUUGGACAAUGGGCGAAAGCCUGAUCCAGCAAUGCCGCGUGAGUGAUGAAGGCCUUAGGGUUGUAAAGCUCUUUUACCCGGGAUGAUAAUGACAGUACCGGGAGAAUAAGCUCCGGCUAACUCCGUG
rnacentral:rRNA from 1 species